AAGAGCCCAAACCAGGAUGCGUGCAUCCUGGGGUUCGGACUGCGACGUGGGAUUAUGUAGGACAGGAGAGCGGCCUGGGAAGGCCGGCCAGAGAGGGUGAAAGCCCCGUAUCCGAAGUCUAAAGUACCCUAGCAGGAUCCAGAGUACCACGAGACACGAGAAACCUUGUGGGAAUGAGCGGGGACCACCCCGUAAGGCUAAAUACUCCUUAGUGACCGAUAGCGCAUAGUACUGUGAAGGAAAGGUGAAAAGGACCCCGGGAGGGGAGUGAAAGAGAACCUGAAACCCUAUGUUUACAAGCUGUGGAACCCCUUUAGAUGGGGAACUGCGUACUUUUUGUAGAACGGUCCGGCGAGUUGCCCGUACUGGCAAGGUUAAGGACUUAAGGUCCGGAGCCGAAGUGAAAGCAAGCGUUAAGAGCGCGAAACUAGUCAGUGAGGGCAGACCCGAAACCGGGUGACCUAUCCAUGUCCAGGUUGAAGCUUCCGUAAGAGGAAGUGGAGGACCGAACCCACAUCCGUUGAAAAGGGUGGGGAUGAGGUGUGGAUAGCGGAGAAAUUCCAAUCGAACCCGGAGAUAGCUGGUUCUCCUCGAAAUAGCUUUAGGGCUAGCCUCAUCAAAGUCUGCUGGAGGUAGAGCACUGAAUUGUCUAGGGGGCGUCAAAGCUUACCAAAACAUAUCAAACUCCGAAUGCCAGCCAGAUGAUUGAUGGGAGUCAGACUGUACGAGAUAAGUUGGACAGUCGAAAGGGAAACAGCCCAGACCACCAGCUAAGGUCCCAAAGUACGUGUUAAGUGGAAAAGGAUGUGGGAUUUCAAAGACAACUAGGACGUUGGCUUAGAAGCAGCCAUACAUUGAAAGAGUGCGUAAUAGCUCACUAGUCGAGAGAUCCUGCGCCGAAAAUGUCCGGGGCUAAAACACGACACCGAAGCUGUGGAAUGUAGUAAUACAUUGGUAGAGGAGCAUUGUAAGCGGGAUGAAGCCAUACCGUAAGGAGUGGUGGACUGCUUAGAAGAGAGAAUGCCGGAAUGAGUAGCGAGAGGAAGGUGAGAAUCCUUCCGGCCGAAUAUCUAAGGUUUCCAGAGUAAAGCUGAUCUGCUCUGGGUAAGUCGGGACCUAAGGCGAGGGCGAGAGCCGUAGUCGAUGGAUAACUGGUUGAAAUUCCAGUACCACAUAAAAACAGAACUGUGGGGACACAGAAGGGAAAUGGGAGCCAGGAAUGGAAACACUGGUGCAAGCGAAGUAGCCGUAUGGGAGGCAAAUCCCUCAUGCAAGGCAAAGGCGUUACGCGGACCGAACAAAAGUAGGGAAGCCCAGGCCCCCAGCUGUCAAGAAAAGCCGCUAUUGUUUUUUAUGUGCCCGUACCGUAAACCGACACAGGUGGAUGAGGAGAGAAUCCUAAGGCCGACGGGAGAAGUGUUGUUAAGGAACUCGGCAAAAUGACUCCGUAACUUCGGGAGAAGGAGUGCCAUAGCGAUAUGGCCGCAGAGAAUUGGCCCAAGCAACUGUUUAGCAAAAACACAGGUUUAUGCAAAACCGCAAGGUGAAGUAUAUGGGCUGACGCCUGCCCGGUGCUGGAAGGUUAAGGGGAGGGCUUAGCGCAUUAGCGCGAAGGUCUGAACUUAAGCCCCAGUAAACGGCGGCCGUAACUAUAACGGUCCUAAGGUAGCGAAAUUCCUUGUCGGGUAAGUUCCGACCCGCACGAAAGGCGUAAUGAUUUGGGCACUGUCUCAACAACACACCCGGUGAAAUUGAAAUACCAGUGAAGAUGCUGGUUACCUGCGCCAGGACGGAAAGACCCCAUGGAGCUUUACUCCAGCUUGAUACUGGGAUUCGGUACUGCAUGUACAGGAUAGGUGGGAGACUGAGAAGAAAGGACGCCAGUCCUU
rnacentral:rRNA from 2 species